AGUUUAUGAACUUGUUAUAAGUGUAUAUUUUGAAAAUAUAAAAAAGGGUAAAAUUCCCUAUUAACUU
rnacentral:tRNA from 1 species